rnacentral:rRNA from 1 species
UACGAAGGGGGCUAGCGUUGCUCGGAAUUACUGGGCGUAAAGCGCACGUAGGCGGCUUUCUAAGUCGGGGGUGAAAUCCUGGAGCUCAACUCCAGAACUGCCUUCGAUACUGGAAAGCUCGAGUCCGGGAGAGGUGAGUGGAACUGCGAGUGUAGAGGUGAAAUUCGUAGAUAUUCGCAAGAACACCAGUGGCGAAGGCGGCUCACUGGCCCCGGUACUGACGCUGAGGCACGGAAAAGCGUGGGG